rnacentral:lncRNA from 1 species
CUCUCCUCAAUUAGUUCACAUUCACAGAAACGAAACAUACAAAAUUGCAGGAAGAAAGUAACCAUAAGAUCUGGCAUAAAACAGCAGCAUAAAAAUUCAUCUUUCAUUUUGCUCCAAACAAUUCCAACAACCAUAUUCAAGAUCUAAGGUAAAUUCUCUAUUUUUAACAAAAACAAACAACAAUUUUUUCUUCAUCAUCAACAACAUUUUCCAAUCUCAAUUUCAACAACAACAACAACAAUCAUCAACAACAACAAUAACAUUUUCAACAAUCACAAACUCCCAAUCUCAAUUUCAACAAAAACAAUAAUUAUAUACUGUGUUUUCUACAACAGCAGCAACAACCUUAAACAUCCACAAAGGCACAAAGUUGUUAAAAGCAACAACGAUAAACCUCCACCAGAAGUUCACCGCGAAUCAUACAAUGGCAACGAAGUACACGCGCCGAACUUACGUAAGAUUUCACUGCUGAGAUUAUUAAUAGAAAGAUAAAGUUCCACGAGAGUCGAACAAAGCUCAGCUAAAUGCGUUGGGAUUUUUCCGGCGAAGUGAUUUGCCAGUGAUUUUGUUUCCUAUGACAGAUAAAAACUCUAUAUCAUGGUUGAGGAUCCAGGUGAACAAGCUGGAGAGGUUGAGAGAACCGAAACUCUAAUAAGUCUUCAUAUGGAUUAUCCUUUAAUUCUCCAGAUUUGGGUGAAACUAAGGUUGAUUUGGGGAUUUAUUAGUGAUUUAAAAAUUAAUUAAUUAAAAAUAAUGAAUUAGAAUUUUACUAUCAUGAUUUUCUGGGUUUUUAUUUUUUAUUUUAUUUUUAAAGAUGAUAAUUAAAGAUGAAGAGAAUAAUAGGGAAGAAUAUGAAGAAAUGAAAUGAAAUACUAUUGUUGUUUAAUUAGAAGGUGGGGACCACUGCUGCAGUCCACAAUGUCAUGCAACAAUUCACAACAAUUACCACGUCACAAAUCCUAACCAUCCAAUUAAAAAAUUAAUAAAUUCAUGGUUGUGGUUCAACUUUUUCAUGAAGGGAAAGAACUCCUCUUUCCCAUACUAAACCCCACCAGAG